ACUUUCGACACAUCUUCAAGUGAUUUAAAAUUACCUGGGCUUACUGUGUCACAUUUGUUCUAAGACCAUCACAUAUUUUAUGUUGGCUUAAACUUAUUGUGCUAUCUUAUCAGAAACAAUAAAAUUCCAACGUUUUAAACGUAGUCUUUAAGGAAGUGAUUUGAAAAAUAUUCUCCAGAAACGCAAACCAUUUGAUGUUCUUAAUGCUUUGAGAGACUUUCAAAGGCUAGUAAUGUGAUAAUGGAGAUUGGUAGGAGAAGUUCGCUAGGUUGUCGCUGGCAGGAUGUCGUCUGUCGCCCGUCGCUGGUCCCCUGUCGCCAUUACGCGCACGCACAAUGGCGCUAAUAAAUUAAAAACGAAAGCUAAUUUCUGUAAUUGCGCACACAACGAGUCAACAGCUACAGAGCCAACAUCCAACAGGCAGUAACCAGCAACCAACUAGCUACCCGGGUUCCUGGAAAUGUCCUUCGUCCUGGCAAUGCCAAGUUCCCUCGCCAAGUUCGCAGUGUACUAAAUGGCCCCGAAGCUUUUGACUAGUUGGAUUGGGGGCGAAAGAAACUUACACGUAAUUAGCUGCACGUUUUAUGAAAAUUUCUGUCGCAAAUGUAGCGACUAUAGCUCUCAACUAGUGACACUUUUCAGAGGGGUCCUUUUAGUCCUCGUUAACAAAUAGUGACAACAAAGGAACUUAAGCAGCUCAGCGGAAGUCCUUGCACUCGAGUUUCUGUGUCAAACAA